rnacentral:lncRNA from 1 species
UCUUCAGCACAAGAAGGUCGAGGACUGGCAGCUCCAGUCCCUACUCUCAUUUAAUAUCUAUAGAAGAAUACUGUAGACUUCGGAAUAUCAUGCUGAUGCCUCAAAAGCUUUUCUGAGCACUUCACAGUGUCCAGUAGGAGCAGUAGGAGAAGGCACUGUGCAGGCACUGCACUCCCAUUUCCACUGAGCCCUGCA